UGGCUCAGAGGUUAAAGCGUCUGCCUCCAAUGCAGGAGACCCAGGAUCGAUCCCUGG
rnacentral:tRNA from 1 species